UAGUUUAGGAUGGAGCAUGCUUACCUAAAAGAUGUCUAUAUUCUUGAUUUAACCCAUUCAGAGUAGUAAUUAGGUGUCGUAAUUAAACACCUUGUCGUUUUGCCUCUACGAAGCAUUUCCACUACAUACCGAGAAACCCAUGUAAUCGGCUACGACGGAGCGCUACGACCGUAGCGCAGCUGUGAAAGAUCCAAGCUAUAGUCGACUGGGAAUAAAUUUGCAGGAAGUGAGUUCUUUCUUUUAUUCAAGUCACUGCAGAGUUAGCUUAGUUAGACUCUAGUAGGUAUUCGGUGUAAUUACGUUUCGCACUUAACCAGUUUUUUAAUAAACAAUUUUACAACCUAUCUUAAAUUAUUUCUUGAUGAAAUACUAUCAUCAUCUUCAUGCUUCAUUUCAUAUGUCCAAAUUAUUAGUUGGAAAAAUUCAAUUGAAAUUAAAUAAGUAAAUUCUCAUAUCAUAUUCAUAACUACGAUAUCACAUGGGUUUAAUAGCGGAGUUAUUAAAGCGCGUAAUUGUGAGCGGAAAAAACGCGGCGUCUUUGAACGAGUGGCCGCGCUGAGUUGCGAUGUGAUAAUUGCUUGUUGUAUGGUAUUUUUGUAUGGCUCUUGUAUGGGUGCUAAUCAUAGUUGACAGACCAUUAUUCUCCUAGUAAGUGCGUGUUUGAAGUACGUGUAAUAGAAAACUUAAUAUCUACUGAUUAAGUUUGUGCUAAUUGUUUUUUUAUUGAAAUGUGAAAACCCUUUUUGUGAGUGCAGAUGUAAGUAAGGUAUAUUAAAGAAGUGACCUUAUUUUUUUUAAUAACAUGUUUGCACAUUACAUAUUUAAUUUUAGACGUAAAAUUAAUUGUUAAUUCGAAAUAAGUCUUAAGAAAAAUUUUUUUAUAAUUGACGAUCGGUCUGGCCUAGUGUGUAGUGACCCUGCCUAUGAAGCCGAUGGUCCUGGGUUCGAAUCCUGGUAAGGGCAUUUAUUUACGACCGGUCUGGCCUAGUGGGUAGUGACCCUGCCUACGAAGCUGAUGGUCCCGGGUUCAAAUCCUGGUAAGGGCAUGUAUUCGUGUGAUGAGCAUGGAUAUUUGUUCCUGAGUCAUGGGUGUUUUCUAUGUAUUUAAGUAUUUAUAAAUAUUUAUAUAUUAUAUAUAUCGUUGUCUAAGUACCCUCAACACAAGCCUUAUUGAGCUUACUGUGGGACUUAGUCAAUUUGUGUAAUGAUGUCCUAUAAU